UACAGAGGUCUCAAGCGUUGUUCGGAUUCAUUGGGCGUAAAGGGUGCGUAGGUGGCGCCAUAAGUCAGGUGUGAAAUCUCGGGGCUCAACUCCGAAACUGCACUUGAUACUGUGGUGCUCGAGUACUGGAGAGGAGAUUGGAAUUUACGGUGUAGCAGUGAGAUGCGUAGAUAUCGUAAGGAAGACCAGUGGCGAAGGCGAAUCUCUGGACAGUUACUGACACUGAGGCACGAAGGCCAGGGGAGCAAACGGG
rnacentral:rRNA from 1 species